AGGACUUUAUCGGGGGCUCACCAUGCGGUACCAAGUUCUUCAGCUCUCCACCAUCUUGACUUUUCUCCUGGUAGCUUCUCUUUGAAACCUGGGCAAGCCGGCUGGUCUACUGCAGCUCUCCCCAGGAAAAGGACUGAGCAUAAUGUUAUGAUCCCUUCUGAAUAUCUUGCUGCUGGCAUAACUGCAACAUGUACUGCUGAGCUGUGUUUUUGCUGUUGCGGUCCAACAAGCUGGAAGGAAAGCAAGUCACUUGCAAAAGUUUCCUGUCACCAUUUAAAGUGUUCUUUCCUUUGGAAAGAUAGUAUUAAUGUAAAACGAUGCCUGAUUUCUUGUUUCUGACACUUGAUCAGCCCCAGAAGGUUUCUCUCCCCAGUGGCAAAGCUGUUACAUUUCUCUGAAACCCCACUCCUUCAUUUUUGUUGUACUCCACAUGCCUAGAUCUCAAGCCACGUGGCAGAUCCAAUAUACUUUCAGCCUAGAAGAUUACAAGAAGAUGUGUAUUUUUUAUAUUGUAUGGUUGCUCAAGGACUAUGUAUCUGACUGCAAGUGCACCCACAGGCAUGCUUGGCUGGACCUCUUGUCAUCCAGGCACAUAGCCCAAGUACGAUGCCUGCUGCCUGGGGUCAGGUAGGCUGCAGGGGUGAGGUGCAGACACAGUGCUCUCACUGCUGCUCCCCAGACCCUCACUCAGAAAAGCACAGUCUGGAAGAUCCCUUCAUAGCUCAUGAAGUGCACUUCCUUCAUGAUUACAGGUAUGUAUCCAGACAUGGUGUGUAAACAGCACGAUUACCCAAAAACUAGACUUCCUAGGCUUUUUUUCAUUAGCUGGCUGUGUAAACAUAAAGCU